rnacentral:rRNA from 1 species
CUGGAAACUAGGAUUAAAACCAUAUAACACUUCUAGACCGCAUGGUUUGGAAGUCAAAUUGAUUAAGAGGUAUAGGAUGAGUUCGCGUCUGAUUAGCUAGUUGGUGAGGUAAUGGCUCACCAAGGCGACGAUCAGUAGCCGGCCUGAGAGGGUGAACGGCCACACUGGAACUGAGACACGGUCCAGACUCCUACGGGAGGCAGCAGUGGGGAAUAUUGCACAAUGGAGGAAACUCUGAUGCAGCGACGCCGCGUGAGUGAAGAAGGUCUUCGGAUCGUAAAACUCUGUCCUUGGUGAAGAAAAAAUGACGGUAGCCAAGGAGGAAGCCCCGGCUAACUACGUGCCAGCAGCCGCGGUAAUACGUAGGGGGCGAGCGUUGUCCGGAUUUACUGGGCGUAAAGGGUGAGUAGGCGGUAAUAUGUGUCAGAUGUAAAAGGCUAUGGCUUAACCAUAGUUGGCAUUUGAAACUGUAUUACUUGAGUGCAGGAGAGGUAAGUGGAAUUCCUAGUGUAGCGGUGAAAUGCGUAGAUAUUAGGAGGAACACCAGUGGCGAAGGCGACUUUCUGGACUGUAACUGACGCUGAGGCGCGAAAGCGUGGGGAGCAAACAGGAUUAGAUACCCUGGUAGUCCACGCCGUAAACGAUGAGUGCUAGGUGUCCGGUAUCGACCCCUUCCGUGCCGCAGUUAACACAAUAAGCACUCCGCCUGGGGAGUACGGCCGCAAGGUUGAAACUCAAAGGAAUUGACGGGGGCCCGCACAAGCGGUGGAGCAUGUGGUUUAAUUCGACGCAACGCGAAGAACCUUACCAGGGCUUGACAUCCCCCUGACCGCGGUCCGUAACGGGACCUUUCCUUCGGGACAGAGGAGACAGGUGGUGCAUGGUUGUCGUCAGCUCGUGUCGUGAGAUGUUGGGUUAAGUCCCGCAACGAGCGCAACCCUUAUCUUUAGUAGCCAGCACGUAACGGUGGGAACUCUAGAGAGACUGCCGAGGAUAACUCGGAGGAAGGUGGGGAUGACGUCAAAUCAUCAUGCCCCUUAUGAUCUGGGCUACACACGUGCUACAAUGGCGAUAACAAAGGGAAGCAAAAGGGUGACCUCUAGCAAACCUCAUAAACCGAUCCCAGUUCGGAUUGUAGGCUGCAACUCGCCUACAUGAAGUUGGAGUUGCUAGUAAUCGCGAAUCAGAACGUCGCGGCGAAUGCGUUCCCGGGUCUUGUACACACCGCCCGUCACACCAUGGAAGUUGG